UACGAAGGGGGCUAGCGUUGCUCGGAAUUACUGGGCGUAAAGGGCGCGUAGGCGGAUCGUUAAGUCAGAGGUGAAAUCCCGGAGCUCAACUUCGGAAUUGCCUUUGAUACUGGCGAUCUUGAGUGUGAGAGAGGUAUGUGGAACUCCGAGUGUAGAGGUGAAAUUCGUAGAUAUUCGGAGGAACACCAGUGGCGAAGGCGACUCACUGGCUCGAUACUGACGCUGAGGUGCGAAAGCGUGGGGAGCAAACAGG
rnacentral:rRNA from 1 species